GCGGGAUUAGUUUAGUGGUAAAAUGAGUCCUUCCCAAGGAUUAGACGCGAGUUCGAUUCUCGCAUCCCGCA
rnacentral:tRNA from 2 species